rnacentral:rRNA from 1 species
UACAGAGGGUGCGAGCGUUGUCCGGAAUCACUGGGCGUAAAGGGCGCGUAGGCGGCUUGAUAAGCGUGCGGUGAAAGCCCGGGGCUCAACCCCGGGUCGGCCGUGCGAACUGUCGAGCUGGAGCACUGUAGAGGCAGGUGGAAUUCCGGGUGUAGCGGUGGAAUGCGUAGAGAUCCGGAAGAACACCGGUGACGAAGGCGGCCUGCUGGGCAGUGGCUGACGCUGAGGCGCGACAGCGUGGGGAGCAAACAGG